AUCAAGGUUAGAUACAAUCUAGAUCAGUUGGAAGUGAGAUAUCCGAAUGAAUCGGAUGAAAAAUUAUUCCAGAUGGAGGCUAGUUCAACUUUGGUGGACAAGAUAAAGGGCACCCAACUUCAAGACAAAGGAUGCGAGAAAAUCAAGGAAAGAGCGUCUGAAUGUAGUGAGGUGAAAUUCAAGAUCAAUACCAAAGGGUUACUAAGAUUCGAGGGAAGAAUUUGGGUUUUGCCAGUACCCGAG
rnacentral:lncRNA from 1 species